UGGGGAGGGUGCAGCUUUCGUCUAGUGGGGAGGGUGCAGCUUUCGUCUAGUGGGGAGGGUGCCAUGGGAUCUUUUUUCAUCAACAGGGUACUGUGCUCUUCUGGUGGUUAUGACAAGGGACUGACCUAACUCCAUCACAGCCCAUUGGGUGUGACCACCACAUAGUGCUGUGAUUAAUGGGCAGCAUACAGGAUGAGUGCUCUUCUGGUGGUUAGGGUGCAGAUUUCUUCUGGGGUAGUGACAUCUAGUGGGCAGGGUGCAGGAUUCUCCUGGCGUAGUGAUGAUCUAGCCAGCAGGGUACAGGUUUCUCCUGGGGUAGUGACGAUCUAGCCAGCAGGGUACAGGUUUCUCCUGGGGUAGUGACAAUCUAGUGGGCGGGGUGCAGGUUUCUCCAGGGGUAGUGACGAUCUAGUGGGCGGGGUGCAGGUUUCUCCUGGGGUAGUGACUAUCUAAUGGGUGGGGUGCAGGAUUCUCCUGGGGUAGUGACUAUCUAAUGGGUGGGGUGCAGGAUUCUCCUGGGGUAGUGACGAUCUAGUGGGCGAGGUGCAGGAUUCUCCUGGGGUAGUGACGAUCUAGUUGGCGGGGUGCAGGAUUCUCCUGGGGUAGUGACUAUCUAAUGGGCGGGGUGCAGGAUUCUCCCGGGGUAGUGAUGAUCUAGGUUAUCUGGGGUAUCACUGGGAGUAACGUAUAUCAGGAUACAGUUCAUCUCAAUAGGCAGGGGUUUUGAUGACAUAUGAUGGCUUUGAGAGUGUUGGGAGGUGCGAUCAUGGAAUCGUGGUGCUACAGUAUAGUUGGAAUGGCAGUACAGUGAUUUGUAUUGAACCUGGUUUAGGUGUGUAGGUGUGUACAUCACUCCUGGAACACACAUCAUAGUUGUUGUCCUUAGUUUGCCGUGAAUGCAGAUCCAGGUGUUUUUGUUAUAUCUUGUUUUUCUCAACAUCCCUACCUGUUUGAACUUUUGCUUGAUUUUGUUUGAAGCUAAUUUGUUACAAAUAGUCAAGGUUUUAGCGUUAUUAGAUUGUCUAUGGAGACAUGUAGAGGUGACUUGUUCUUGCUUGGCACUGUACUGACAACAGGUGGCACUUUCAUUGAUAUUAGGACAAAACAUGGCAGGGGGGCGGUGCAACUUGGGUGUAUGGGAAGGUACAGCUUGGGGGGAGGUGCAACUUGGAAUGGGAGGUGCAACUUGGAAUGGGAGGUGCAACUUGAAAUGGGGGAGGUACAAGCUGGGUGUGGGCGGGCAAAGGGGGAACUGUUCCUGAGUGGAUUUGGAAAAGUGGUGUGAUUUUGAAAUGGGACGUUGCAACGACAGAAGGGUAGGGGGACGCAAUGUACAGUAGCUGUAGACGAGAGGGGACUAGUGCAGCCAGCUAGUUGUUUAUGUUAUUUUAUUAUUGUGCAAUUGACAAUAUAAUCAAAAUGUAUAAGACAAUCCAUUAUCUGUCAAAGUGUAUGUUAAUUAUGUUGCUUUGAGUUGUACCAGAAUGUAGGCCUGCUACACUGAGUAUUUGCUUGAGCUUGUAGACUGCCAAUAGUAUUGUACAUAGAAACGGAGAGUUAUAUUCAGAUAUAGAGUUUAUUAUAUCUUUGUAUGUAUCAAUGUACCCAAUUACGCAGAGCUUGAGUUGUAGUUGUAGACGGUACCGGACUGCCGACCCCUCUCAUAGUACAGCGGUGGGCCGUAACAUUAUCUCAUCAGAUAGUGUGGUGCCACUUCAGGGUGGGGGGAUAGGGUGGAAGAAGGAAUAAUCACACCAUGUUCCUCCCUCAUAACAAAUAUACAUCAUGAAAUCAUAAACAGACACAUUUUAGAUUUGAUGCUUUUAUAUUUUAUUUGUUAGCAUUUAUCAGUUGAGUUAUCUCAGUGCAAAAAUUAUCCUUUUUUUAGCGUUGGUUUAUAAACUGGCGCAACAUCGUUCUUGCAUUUCCCAUUAUAAACGUAAUCUAGUUGAGAUAUAUUUUAUGCAAUCAUGAUUCAAAAUAAUGUAUUUUUAGUUGUAACAGACAUUUUGCAGGUACUCCCUACAUAUCUACUGCUAGAAUGUAAGUUGGAGGUGGCCAGCAUCAGCGCCUCAUUCUGGUUGCCAUUGCAACAGCAGUCUCGCUGGCCACAUUUGCACUUCGUCACAGAUCACAUGACAACACACCUCAUUCAACAUAUUGUCAUCAUUGUGCAUAUUUCUCAAUAAAAUCCUUCAAAUGCAAAAUACCAAAUGCAAUGUAUAUCAUUUGUACCAAAGAUGUUUUUUCCUUCUUUUUGCUAUAAGAUAGUGUAUUAGCACUGAGUAGCCAGCCAAAUGAGGGCUGCCUCUGAAGACAAAGAGGGCGCUGUGUUAUGUCAGGACUUGUGUUCUUGGUUUUAUGGUUUACAGAUUUGUUUUGACCAAGCAGGUGGAGUCUGUCAAGAUAAAAAACAUAGCAGAUAUAUAUGCCGCCAUAAUUUUGGUAUUUAAUGCUGCUUUUAUUUCUUUAGUAUUAUAUAAAAUGUUUUGGGUUGUUUGAAUUAAUGGAAAA
rnacentral:lncRNA from 1 species